rnacentral:lncRNA from 1 species
ACCCCAGGCCCUAGUACACAGCAGAGAUGGGUUUCACCAUGGUGAUCAGGCUGGUCUCGAACUCCUGACCUCAAGUGAUCCACCCACCUUGGCCUCCCAAAGUGCUGGGAUUACAGGCCUCCAGGUGGGCACGCAUCUUUGUUGUGUUCUCUGCUGACUGUAUCCUCAGCACCUAGAACUGUCUGUCACCUAAUAGAUGCUCACAAGAAUGCGGUGUGUCAGGAGAAGCAAAUCCCAAAUGAGAUAAACCUGCCAGUAAUUUCAGCAAAUGAAACGUGGAACACGUCAAGGCCAGAGGAUGGAAAAGGCUCCAGUUUUGAUAAAAGGAGGCCUGCUUGGCUUGGAAUCCUCUCUCCUGCUGGUUGGGAGAUGCAAAGAUGUUUCCAGAGAGGGGCUGAUGAAUUGAGGGGAAAGAAAUGAGCCCAGUAUGAGUCCCCUUUCAGGGCUGAGUGUGUAUAAAACCAAACAACUUGGAACCGCUCCAAGAGAGGGGAUUAAAGCAACAUGUUAUUC